AAAGCUCAAAUUUAAAAUCUGGUGGCUUUGGCCGCCCGAGUUGUAUUCUAGAGAAGUGUUUUCCGCGUUGGACCGUGUACAAGUCUCUUGGAACAGAGCGUCAUAGAGGGUGAGAAUCCCGUCUUUGACACGGACUACCAGUGCUUUGUGAUACACUCUCAAAGAGUCGAGUUGUUUGGGAAUGCAGCUCAAAAUGGGUGGUAAAUUCCAUCUAAAGCUAAAUAUUGGCGAGAGACCGAUAGCGAA
rnacentral:rRNA from 1 species